AAAAAAAAAAAAAAAAAAAAAAAAAAGAAUGAAAAGGGGACUCGCUUCCGAGAAGCUGCCCUCUCUGCAAACUUAAGGGACUGAAGUUAGGGAGAGGAAAGGGAUACACAUCUGUUAGUGCGAGUUGCAUGUCUUGUUAGUGCGAACUUAAACCCAAGUUUCCUUUCGGAAGACUUUGGUGAAAGAGUACAGGAACACCAGCCACUCCAGAAAGAGAAGACCGCUCCUCUUGAACCCGCCCAUUUAACUCUUCCCACAGGCUCUGCGUUCCGCAUACCUCCACCCUGAUUUUAGACAGUUAAAGGCGCACAAUCAAGGAAUGUCGACAGAGGGCGUCCUUGCUCUAAGUAGCAUUGUCCCCCUGCUUCCUGAGCGGAGAUGAUCCUUCUCUGAACCUGGACUUCUGGCGUUGUGCCUCUAUCCAUUUCCCUGCUUCAAAGCUCUCCUAAUUGACUUUGUUUUCGGACGCUUCCCCACUUUACCCUCCAGGAGUGUUGCUUCUUUUAUUUCUUUGCUUUGCUGUUGCUUCUUUGCUUGGAUGGUUGUUUGGCUUAGUAAAUAGACCUAGACCCCACCCCAUGGUGUAGAAGCAGUUGGUGGACUUCUACAAAGGGCCAGAUAGUACACAUUUUAGGCUUUGCAAUCUCCUUAUGGUUGUAAGUUCGGCUGUUGUAGCACAAAAGCAGCCUUGGACAGUAAACAAAUAGGUGUGGCUGUGUUCCAACAAAACUUCAUUGAAAUUUGAAUUUCACUGUAAAUUUCACGUGUCAUGAGAUUUUUUUUUUAACCAUUUAAAAAUGUAAAAAAUAAUGUGUGUGUCUGUGUGUUUUAGCUUGGGCCGCCAGCUAGCAGUAGUUUGCCAAUUCUUGGUAGAGAAACAGAGCAGUCUCCACCUAGAUCUGGGAAUUCUGGGAGAGAGGUCCUUGCCAAAAUAACAGUUCAUGGCCUGCUUUUCUAGAUCUGGGAGUGAGUAGGACUACUACUAGACUCUCAUUUGACCUCUCCUUUGGGAAUUGCAGGGUAUAUAGUGCCCACUGAUUGGUGGGAAUUUUGUCAAGGUGGGUCUGAUAAUCUGUGGCUUCUUUCCCUUCCCAGCUCUUUAGAGUCUUUCUUUUUCAUCGUUCUCUCCCUCUCUCUUUUUAGAGAUGUGUUCUUGCCAUGUUGCCCAGGCUGAGCACAGUGACUAUUCACAGGCCGGAUCUAGUGCACUGCAGUCUUGAACUCCUGGCUUACAGUCCUGCUGGUUUCUGAGAAGCAGUGGAAGAAAUGGCCACCAUGCUCUGCAGCUAGGUCUCAGGGGAUACCAGAACAACCCACAUGUAAAUAGUCAGUUGAAUCCUGAACGUGAGACAUUUUUCAAGACAACUGACCUGCUCUCUUAAAGAAGAAGUACCAAAGUGGGGACUGUUCUAGAUAGAUGAAACAGAUUUAAUAAUCAAUACUAUGUGUGAAAACUGACUGGAUCAACAGAGGAAAUUUAAACACAGACUAGGUGUUCAGAUAUUAGGGAAUUACUGUUCUUUUUUUUUUUUUUUUUAAAGGUAUGUAAAUGUAUUGUGGUUAUGUAAAAGACCAUCCUUAUUUUUAUGCAAUGCAUGCUUAAGUGUUUAGCGAUGAAAUGUAAUGUCUGUAAGUUCCUUUCCAAUGUUUGGUUAAAAAAAAUAUGGCAAAAUGUUAGUUUUAAAAUCUAGGUGGGUAUACAGUUCACUUUAUUAUUUUUAAACCUUUCUGUAUAUUUGAAAACUCAUAAUAAAAAGUUCCGGAAAAUAAAGCUAUUUGCUAAAAA